rnacentral:rRNA from 1 species
AACGAACGCUGGCGGCGUGGAUAAGACAUGCAAGUCGAACGGGACUAAAUCUGUAGCAAUACAGGUUUAGUUUAGUGGCGAACGGGUGCGUAACACGUGGGCAAUCUGCCGAGAAGUGGGGGAUAGCUCGCCGAAAGGCGAAUUAAUACCGCAUAUGAUCAGUGAAGACAUCUUCAUGACAUCAAAGCCGGGGCAACCUGGCGCUUCUUGAUGAGCCCGCGGCCUA